rnacentral:rRNA from 1 species
GGUGGUGCAUGGUUGUCGUCAGCUCGUGUCGUGAGAUGUGGUUAAGUCCGCAACGAGCGCAACCCUCGCCUCUAGUUGCCAGCAUUCGGUUGGGCACUCUAGAGGGACUGCCGGCGACAAGUCGGAGGAAGGUGGGGAUGACGUCAAAUCAUCAUGCCCCUUAUGACCUGGGCUACACACGUGCUACAAUGGGCGGUACAAAGGGCUGCGAACCCGCGAGGGGGAGCGAAUCCCAAAAAGCCGCUCUCAGUUCGGAUUGCAGGCUGCAACUCGCCUGCAUGAAGCCGGAAUCGCUAGUAAUCGCGGAUCAGCAUGCCGCGGUGAAUACGUUCCCGGGCCUU